rnacentral:rRNA from 1 species
UACGUAGGGUGCAAGCGUUAAUCGGAAUUACUGGGCGUAAAGCGUCUGUAGGUGGCUUUUUAAGUCCGCCGUCAAAUCCCAGGGCUCAACCCUGGACAGGCGGUGGAAGCUACCAAGCUGGAGUACGGUAGGGGCAGAGGGAAUUUCCGGUGGAGCGGUGAAAUGCGUAGAGAUCGGAAAGAACACCAACGGCGAAAGCACUCUGCUGGGCCGACACUGACACUGAGAGACGAAAGCUAGGGGAGCGAAUGGG